rnacentral:rRNA from 1 species
AAUCUCAGUUCGGAUUGUAGGCUGCAACUCGCCUACAUGAAGUUGGAAUCGCUAGUAAUCGCGAAUCAGAAUGUCGCGGUGAAUACGUUCCCGGGUCUUGUACACACCGCCCGUCACACCACGAGAGUUUACAACACCCGAAGUCAGUGGCCUAACCGCAAGGAGGGAGCUGCCUAAGGUGGGGUAGAUGAUUGGGGUGAAGUCGUAACAAGGUAGC